UUGAGGGUAUUUCUUUGAGUUUUACUUAACUCAUUAUGUGCUAGGGUCCGCUAUAAAUUUGAGCUCGUGUACGGACACUCAUUCAAGGUUAUAGCCGUUUAUCUUUCACUUUCUUCAGAAAUGGACAGCAAGACUAUUAUCUCAAUAUUUUGUAUUCUGCUAGCAGCCUGUUUGAUGUUCGAAACAGAGGCACUUUUCGGUCUGGACCCCGACUUUAAUGCCGGGAAGAGAUCAUCUGUCUUGAAAUCAAGUAAUGUCCAGAGGGAUAUCAGAAACAUGUGUGCUACCAUGAACGAUGUUUGCAAAUGGAAAAAGGAAAGACUGCAGAAUAUAAAUCAGAAAAAGAUGGAAAAUUAACCUACAACAUGGAUCGCUUAUUGCUGAAUACGAAGUUUUUUAGGUUGGAGUAUAAAACCUUCGUGUGAAAUUAAUAAAAUGCUUGGCUUUA